GGGAGUUUGGCCGAGUGGUUAAGGCGUUGCGUUUAGGUCUUCCCUUCCAAAGGGAAACCACGAACCGCAAUGGGAAACCGCGCAGGUUCGAAUCCUGCAGCUCUCA